rnacentral:rRNA from 1 species
UGGGGAAUAUUGCACAAUGGGCGAAAGCCUGAUGCAGCGACGCCGCGUGAGGGAUGGAGGCCUUCGGGUUGUAAACCUCUUUCGCUCAUGGUCAAGCCGCAACAGUGGUUGUGGUGAGGGUAGUGGGUAAAGAAGCACCGGCUAACUACGUGCCAGCAGCCGCGGUAAUACGUAGGGUGCGAGCGUUGUCCGGAAUUAUUGGGCGUAAAGGGCUUGUAGGCGGUUUGACGCGUCUGCCGUGAAAUCCUCUGGCUUAACUGGGGGCGUGCGGUGGGUACGGGCAGGCUUGAGUGCGGUAGGGGAGACUGGAACUCCUGGUGUAGCGGUGGAAUGCGCAGAUAUCAGGAAGAACACCGGUGGCGAAGGCGGGUCUCUGGGCCGUUACUGACGCUGAGGAGCGAAAGCGUGGGGAGCGAACAGGAUUAGAUACCCUGGUAGUCCACGCUGUAAACGUUGGGCACUAGGUGUGGGGGCCACCCGUGGUUUCUGCGCCGUAGCUAACGCUUUAAGUGCCCCGCCUGGGGAGUACGGCCGCAAGGCUA